rnacentral:rRNA from 1 species
AUUGAACGCUGGCGGCAUGCUUUACACAUGCAAGUCGAACGGCAGCGCGGGCUUCGCCUGGCGGCGAGUGGCGAACGGGUGAGUAAUACAUCGGAACGUGCCCAGUAGUGGGGGAUAGCUCGGCGAAAGCCGGAUUAAUACCGCAUACGACCUGAGGGUGAAAGCGGGGGAUCUUCGGACCUCGCGCUAUUGGAGCGGCCGAUGGCAGAUUAGCUAGUUGGUGGGGUAAAGGCCUACCAAGGCGACGAUCUGUAGCUGGUCUGAGAGGACGACCAGCCACACCGGGACUGAGACACGGCCCAGACUCCUACGGGAGGCAGCAGUGGGGAAUUUUGGACAAUGGGCGAAAGCCUGAUCCAGCAAUGCCGCGUGUGUGAUGAAGGCCUUCGGGUUGUAAAGCACUUUUGGCGGGAACGAAAAGGACUGUGCCAAUACCACGGUUCGAUGACGGUACCCGCAGAAUAAGCACCGGCUAACUACGUG